GAGAAGCCCCGGAAGGCGAGGGAAACUGAGUUCCGUAUUGGUUGAAGACGCCGAGCAGGAUUGCCCUGAGGGAAGAGGCCCCAUUUCUCUUGCUCCCUUCUGUGUUUCAGCAUCUGGCAAAGAGCAGGAGCACAGCCAUCAUCUGCUGACCAGCUGCAGAUCUGAAGGAGUCAGUAAGAAAAUAAAAACAACUGCUGACAGAGGAAGUAUACUACAGACACUGGGAGUUAACAGCUAUUUGCUGAUAGGAAUGAGGAAGAUCUUUUCUUUUCCAAAAGACUGAAAAGCUUAAAAAUAAACCCAGCACUACAAGCCUCUGCUGUAAAGCUGGAGUUCAUAAGGCUACUUUUCUACUGCAGCACAAAGAAUUGCUUCAUUCAACCCUCUGUGACCCUCCGUCAUUAGGGUAGAAAGCCUCUAAGGUCCCCAAGCCCUGCCUCCUGGACUCCAUGCUGGAUGAAUGACUCUCUCCCAAGGAGUAGAAUAUGGUAGAAGUGACGGGAGAAGCUCUUUGGCUGCCUCACCAAUAGAGCAUGGUAGAAACACGUUGGGCCAGUUUCUGGGCCCAGGCCUUGGGAAACUGGCAGCAUACACUUCCCAUCUCUUGGGAGUCUUGCUCCUGGACCCAGCCACUUCACCACGAUGAAGUUCAAGCAGAGGCCCACGUGGAGAGCCACAUCAUUGAGUGAGCCCCAGCUGAUGGCCACCACCAAUCUGCCACCACCCAAGUGAGCCAUCUUUCAAAUGGACCGUCCGGCCCCCAGGUGAGCUGCCCCAGCCGAUACUGCAUAGAGUCCAGAAGCACUGCGUCUCUGAGCUCCGUCCAAAUUGCAAUUUCUGAGCAACAUAAAUGACUGUCCUGGAUUUAGGCUACUAAAUUUUAGGGUGGCUUGCUAUGCAGCAAUAGAUAAUAGGUGCACUAUUGUGUUUACCUUCCUCUGAAGAUCUUAAGGUACCCAUGGUUUAUUUUUUAGAUUAUUAGCAUGGAAACACCUUGCUAGUAGGACAAUGUUUCUUCACUUGGCAUUUUCACAGAGAGCACAGAACCUGGCAAAUAGUAGGCACACCCGAUUUAACUGACUGACUGAAUGAAUGAACAGCUGCACAUACCUGAAUUAUAAAACACAAUUACUAACGCCCUGCCUGUGAGUAUGUAGAUCAGAAUGACCUUUCUAGAAAGCAAUUUUGCAAUGUUUAUUAUGAGUUAAAAAAAUUCACACCCUUCAAUCAUUUACCUUCUGCAAAUCCGACCUAUAAAAAAUGUUUAAAAAAAUGUUAUAUCCCAGUCUCAUUUAUAAAUGCCAAAACAAUUUUCAAUAAUAGAGUAAUGAUUAACAAAGGUAGGUAAAUCCAAAGGACAGAAUAUUUUGCAGCCAUUUAAACAUGCUUCCAAAUUUUCUAGAUGCCACUGGAAAAUGCUUAUAAGAGAAAAGCAGCAUACAAAAUUAUAUAUGUCAUAUACUUAUGGUAAUCUUGCCAAGAAAAUAUGUCCAUAGAAGUACCAGAAGACAAUAUAACAGUGUAUUUAAGAUUACAGUUGCUCUUUUCUUCAUGCGAUUUUUUUCCCCUAUUGUGGAGAGCCGUCUCCCGGGACGGGCAUAGCGCAUGCGCUGUAAACCUGCUCCAAAGUCCCCC